ACCUACCUAUCUUUUGAUUGCUCUAAAUAACCAAAGUGAGGUUUUGGAUUUUCCUCUCAAGUCUCAGCAUUUGGGAACAGGUAGGCGUUAAACUGAACGGAGCCUUUAUUCCAGCUGGGAAAAGGAAGCAGAGGGUGGAGCCGCGUCCUGACGGCCUCUUCCGGGGCAGUGUCCAGAAGGCAAAGGGUUCAGGGUGGGCAGUAGGAGAGCUGAGCCACAGUUGGCAGUCCUCUCAGGAGUCAGGCUGAGGAAGGAGCUCUCCCUCUGGGCAGGCUAUUUGAAGCAGACAGCUGUGUAAUUGGCUCAGUGACUGCAGAUGCAUCUAUUGCUCAAGCGGAACAGACCUGUGGUGGGGUAAUGCACUCCUAGCGAGCUGCUUACAGAUCAUCAGGAAAUUAGGCACUCUCCUCUCUUUAGUUAGAAGUUUUGAAAUGUGACUAAGGCAUGCUGAUAUGUAUGUAUGCUUUUCUGUUAUAGAAAGAAAUUCAGUUGUUUUCCUUCACUCCGUUUUAGCUCAACAGUAAAGACCAAGGCGCACAGAAGACUGCUAAUGCAUCCCUUGAAGAAAUAAUAGACAAGGCGUAUGACAAGUUUGAUGUGGAGAUAAGGAGUGUGCAGUUGCUCUUUGCAAAAGCAGGUCAGCCACUGCUCAGCUCUCAGGGCAGGCAGAUUAGCUCCAGUAGCUUUGUUCAAGUAUGUGCGUGCAUUGUUAGCCUUGAUGCUCUGUUUGCUCUGUUUGCUCCUGGGCAUCAGUCCUAGACACUGCCUGUGCACUUGUCCUGCUGAUCACUUUAGAAAACCCGGUAGGAGUGGCCCAAUGCAGAAUGCCACAGUUGUAACAGAGGUCAACAUGGGACUAUUAACCCUAGGGUACUCAGCACCAUUUGCACCUAAGCUCAUGUGUGGCCUGUCUGUAGCAUGACAGACAGGCCACACACGACACAUGAGGUGUCUGAACACAGCAGAAGUUGCAGCUGGUUCUGGCUCUUCACUCUCAAUGCUUUGGCAUGUUUUCAUGGUCUCUAUGCUGCCUUUAUUUGAAAAUAUUUUGUGUUCUAGCCCAGUCUUUAAUUUUGUAUUAUUAUAACUACUUUUAUAGAUGUCUGAGAGACUUAUAUUUGAAGAAUACCAUAUCUAAAAACUCCACAAGAAGCUUCUUUGAUUAAAAAAUCUUAAAUGAGAGAUGUUCCCGAAUCUAAAACAUUUUAACUGCUGAUAUGAUGCUAUAAAUGAUUCAUGCCACACACGAUCUCAGAUGAUGGGCUGCCCUAGAAGCCCACGUGCCCUGCAGGUGCCAAGUUACACAGCUGGACUUGUGUGUACAGUUGGGUCCCAUCCCCAGGAUAUCUUGCUAUGUUCAUACAUAUUCUUAGAUCUUACUAAGAUCUCCUCUCCGCUGUACCGUGUUUUCAUUACAGGCAUUCAUCCUGUAGAUAAGCUCUCAAGACUUAAAUAGUUUAUGUCUCAAAGCUUUGGUGUUUUCUGUUGCUUAAGCACAGCUUUUCAGUUUUCCAUAUUGCUUUUGUUACUAGAAGAAGUAGUGUUGAUUAAAUAUCUCUGAGCAUGUCAUUUUGUGGACAGUCACCUGAGGACGGAAUCUCUGCCUACCGAGGCUGUGCUCUCCUCUGCCCAGUGAGAUCUGUUAACAUUAAGAUGACAUGUCUGCUAUUGUCUGUAAAGAGCCUCAGAGGUUCUUAAAGGAGAGUGUUUACACAGUCCGUAAAAACUGCCCUUUUUAUUGCAUUCCCUUACCAACAAUUAUUUGAGCAAUGAACUCUUCAGUCCCUGUCAUAGAUAAAGAUCUAUAUUUGACUGUAUUAGCCUUCUGAAAAAUCCAUCUUUGGAAUCUUCCUUUUGGAACAGUAGUGGCUAUUACACAUGAGUGUUUUUUAUUAUUAUUUUUUUAAUCUUCUACUAAUCUGUAUUAAAAUACAGAUGAUUUAAUUUGUAUGCUGAAGGAAGUGAAAAUUUGUUCACUGAAUUUGUUAAGUAUUUUCUAGCAAUGUAAAGUGGUUUUAUACAGACUAUCUGGUUAUUUUUGAUAAUUAAUAUCAAAAUUAUUAUUUUUAAAGAGGAAAAUUGGAAAAAGUGUAGAUUCCAGCAUCCAUCGACUAUGCAUAUACUGCAGCCAAUGGAUAUUCACGUUGAGUUGGCCAAGGCAAUGGUGGAGAAGGAUGUUAGAAUGGCCAAGUAAGUAUGACUGUCUUUUGUAUUAGACGUCAACAAAGAUGCUGCACCCAUAUUACCUACUGAAAUGUAAGGACACAGAGGUGGAUAUAUGUGGGAGAGGGAAAAACAGUGACUAUUCUAUCUUAUAAUACAAAUACAUUUUAAAGAAAAUACUUGUAUAGGCUUUUAUGCUGGCUAGUUUUAUGUCAGGUUGACACAAGCUAUAGUUAUCUUAGAGGAGACAACUUCAAUUGAGAGAAUGACUCCAUAAGAUUGUGUUGUAGGUAAAACUUUAGACUAUUUUCUUGAUUAGUGAUUGAUGUAGGAGGGCCCAGCCGCCUGGGCUAGUGGUCCUGGGUUCUCUAAGAACGCAGGCUGAGCAACCAUGAUGAGCAAGCCAGUACGCAGCAUCCUCCAUGGCCUCUGCAUCAGCCCCUGCCUCCAGGUUCCUGCCCCGUUUGAGCUUUUGUCCUGACUUCAGUGAUGAACUCUGAUGUGGAAGUCUAAGCCAGAUAAACCCUUUUUCCCCCAAGUUGCUUUUGCUCAUAGUGUUCAUUACAGCAGUAGUAACCCCCACUAAGACAUGAUGUGUCUCCUAUUUCAGAAUUCAUAGUUAGAGUUUUACAUUGUAUAAAUAUCGGCUAUCUGAGAUUCUGAAUGUGUGAGCAUCAGGAUUCACUAUCCGUGAAAUAAAAGUUUCAAAGGAAGUUAGCUCUUUUGGUCAUGAAACCACGGACAAUCUUGAGAAAUGUCCUAAAGGAAUAAAGAAGUAGAAGCUAGACUGUGAGGUUAGUAUAUCCUCAUGAAAUUGUUACGCUGUCUUCCUAAAAGCAGCUUUACUGAGGUUUAACUGACACUCUGGAUGUCCUUUAAUGUGCUGUCUGUGUCUCCAUGGGGUCAUCACUGCAGUGGGGACAACAUGUCUGCCACCUGCAGAAGCUUCCUUGAGCUCCAUCCACCCUCUCUUUUUCCUGUGCCCACUUCUUUCCCUGGAAAACAUUGACAUGUUCCUUGAUCCUGAAGAUUUGGUAGAAUUUUCUAGAAUUUCUAAUGAGUGAAAUCAUUGAGCUUUAGCUUUUUUUUGUCUGACUUCUUUCUGUAAGAUUAAGAUUCACUGUGAUAUCACCAGGGAAGGGGACAACAUUUGAAAUGUAAAAAAAGGAAAUAUCUAAUU
rnacentral:lncRNA from 1 species